rnacentral:lncRNA from 1 species
CUACACACCAGGCUCUACGGUGUAGCCUAUUGCUCCCAGGCUACAAACCUGAACAGCAUGUUACUGUACUGAAUACUGCAGGCAAUUGUUACACAACGAGAUAAACUGAUUACUCAGAACACUGCAGACAUGUAUUUUACUGAAUAGAAAUGAAUCACCUAAGGGAACAAGAACUCACUACUCGGAGGAAGUUAAAUAAGAAUGAGGGUGCGAUAAGGCAGCUUUUGUUGGCUUAAUUGAGGCACAAAUGUUAUUAGAAGAAACAUACCUCACCCCUCACCCAGCGUUCCUCAACACUGCCUCCUCCUUGAAAGAGGAAAGGAAGGAGGAUAAACAGGAUUCCACAGAGCCUAUUUCCCAGCAGGCUCACGGAUUGGGUCCUGAAAUACAGAAGGAAUUGAGACUUUGAGAAGUUAUCUAGACCGAUGUUUUCCUCUAGGUUGAACUGUAUUUUGUAUUUUAAAACUGAUAUGCAUAUCUUACCACUUACAAAGAAGUAGGAGUUUAGCACGCAGUUUUCCCACAGUAGCUGGAUGAGGAAAAGAAGUUUCACAGCGUUUGUCUUCCUUACUAGGAGCUACGAAUUUUGCAAUCAUUCAUCUUUCAGGGAGGAAUGUCAACGUAUCCUUGUUACCCACGAAGUGUUCAAAACUGAAAAGGGAAUUUUUCAAACAUUUAUUCUUGUGCAGAAUGUGACAAUUCCAAAUUUUCAAAGUCAGAUUAAAUCUUCAACUUAAAAUAUAUUUUCAAACAGCGUAGCACACUUAGGGAUGUUUUUAAGGAAAUGAACAUUGUCAUCACUAUAUCAUCAAAGACUCAGAACAAUUUAGCUACAAACUCUGGCAUCUGCCUAGGGUGUAUCUAAUCUCUGACAAAUUUUCCACGCAGACAUAAGUGCAAAUCCAUUGCUAUUUUAAUUAUUUAAUCCAUUAUACUUAACUCUUUCCUCUCUUGCUAACAACUGGAGUUCUCUGUUCUCAUGCAAAUAUGAGCUAGAAAUAAAUCAUGAGGGAUGCUUAAGGAUUAUACAGAUAUAUGUAAUCUUUUCAGGCUACAGGUACUCAUAUAAUAAGAAUAAAUUUCAAAAGCAGCAUUCCUGUUUCACAGGCAUUGUCAGUCCUCUCAAUUUCCCAUCAUCUACAUCCUGUAAUUCUUAAUAUUCAUGAAAUGUAAGCCAUUGUUAUUCUAUUAAAACUGGCUUCUUUCCAAUUUUCUUAACACAGUUAUACAUAUGUCAAACCUCAAAA